rnacentral:rRNA from 1 species
UGGGGAAUUUUGGACAAUGGGCGCAAGCCUGAUCCAGCCAUGCCGCGUGCGGGAAGAAGGCCUUCGGGUUGUAAACCGCUUUUGUCAGGGAAGAAAUCUUCUGAGUUAAUACCUCGGGGAGGAUGACGGUACCUGAAGAAUAAGCACCGGCUAACUACGUGCCAGCAGCCGCGGUAAUACGUAGGGUGCAAGCGUUAAUCGGAAUUACUGGGCGUAAAGCGUGCGCAGGCGGUUUUGUAAGACAGAGGUGAAAUCCCCGGGCUCAACCUGGGAACUGCCUUUGUGACUGCAAGGCUUGAGUGCGGCAGAGGGGGGAUGGAAUUCCGCGUGUAGCAGUGAAAUGCGUAGAUAUGCGGAGGAACACCGAUGGCGAAGGCAAUCCCCUGGGCCUGCACUGACGCUCAUGCACGAAAGCGUGGGGAGCAAACCAGGAUUAGAUAGCCCUGGUAGUCCACGCCCUAAACGAUGUCAACUGGUUGUUGGGAAGGUUCCUUCUCAGUAACGUAGCUAACGCGUGAAGUUGACCGCCUGGGGAGUACGGCCGCAAGGUU